rnacentral:rRNA from 1 species
AUUGAACGCUGGCGGCAUGCUUUACACAUGCAAGUCGAACGGCAGCGCGGGCUUCGGCCUGGCGGCGAGUGGCGAACGGGUGAGUAAUACAUCGGAACGUGCCCAGUAGUGGGGGAUAGCUCGGCGAAAGCCGGAUUAAUACCGCAUACGACCUGAGGGUGAAAGCGGGGGGUCUUCGGACCUCGCGCUAUUGGAGCGGCCGAUGGGAGAUUAGCUAGUUGGUGGGGUAAAGGCCUACCAAGGCGACGAUCUGUAGCUGGUCUGAGAGGACGACCAGCCACACUGGGACUGAGACACGGCCCAGACUCCUACGGGAGGCAGCAGUGGGGAAUUUUGGACAAUGGGCGAAAGCCUGAUCCAGCAAUGCCGCGUGUGUGAUGAAGGCCUUCGGGUUGUAAAGCACUUUUGGCGGGAACGAAAAGGACUGUGCCAAUACCACGGUUCGAUGACGGUACCCGCAGAAUAAGCACCGGCUAACUACGUG